UAACAUGUAAUAUGUUUAUUUUGUAUAUCAGUCAGAACUGUGUGGGUUGCAAGUGACAGAAAUUGAAUUCAAAGUGGCUUAAGCAAAGCAAAGGAAUAUAUUGGCUCAAAAACCUAGAGACAGGGGUCUAGUUUCAGGUGCAGUUGCAUCUAGGAGCUCAAAUAAUGACUUCAAACUCUGUGGCACCCUCUGCUUUUUUAUCUUGCCUCAUUCUUGGAAGACUCUCCUUACAGCAACCUAGUAGACUAACAACAGGUCCAGGCAUAUAUUUUAUCUUCUCAGCAACCAUGGUAAACUAGUGUAGAUAGCAUCACACUUGGGAAAUGACCCACUAGUGUAAGAGUUAAAGAGCAAAGAAACAUGAAAAGCAGCUUAACAUUCAAAGUCAGUUUCUUUUGGAGAAUAAACCUGAGGGGUUUCUGACCAGUUUUGAUCGGGGGCACUCUCUCUUACAGACUAUUUUUUAACUAACAUAUGCACAGAUAUAAUUUCUUAGGACUUUAAUGCAUAUUUAAUAUUCACGUUUACAGUGACCCUAAAUUAGAUCCCACUAGCCAACACCAAGUUAUAGUUCAUCAGCCUGCUGGCCAAAAGGCUGGUGGCUCAGCACCAUGGACAGAGGAAUCUGGUGCAAAAGUUGGAUCUGCGCCUAUUUAGAAAAUAACAGCUGUGAUAUAUGAUGUUCUACCAAAGAAAGAUUAGUGUGAACAUUGUUCUUGGCAUCAAAGAGAGUGGCUCUGGGUUUGGAUCAACUCAGAGGAUUGGGGUCUUGAGAAAAUAACCACUUCUUAAAAAUACCUCAGAGUACCAUGACCUGCUUCAUUUACUGACCUACAUAUUGAUCCACUACUUCUUCAACAAUCUGCUUUUCUGUUCCCAAGACACCAUUUUCAUGCUGAACUAAAUGUAAACACCUAGUUAGCAAAUGUGGAGGACAUCUGUUCUUUUUACAUGUCCAGCAUCUAUAACCCUUUUAUCUUUUGCAAACGAAUUAGCUGUCCUGAGUUUGCUCUUUUUGUUGUUGUUGUGUUGUUUUUUGAGGAAACAGUCUCACUCUAUCACCCAAACUGGAGUGUAGUGGUUCCCUCAUGGUUCACUGCAGCCUCGACCUCCCCCUACCUACCACCAUAUCUGGCAUUAAAUAGGUCCUCAAUAAGUAUUAUUUAAAAAGAAAAAUGAGCUGUGUAAGGAUGCUGAUACAACCCCUGGCAUAUACGAGGUACCCCACUGAUUCUCUCUGCCCCACCCUCAGGUAAUGCCUGUUAUGUACAUGGUACCCUAAGCUUCUGGGGCUAAAAUUGGCUCAAUUUUUAACAUUUGGGAAACAAGUGAUUAGGUUGUGUUUUCUAAUAAGCUAUCUACCUCCCAGAAUAAGGAUUUUUGUUUUGCCCACUGACAUACAUGUAGCCGAACUGGUGUCCAGGCCACUCGUCGCCUGAAAGCCAAAUUUGGUGAAAGCAAAGUUAGCUUUAUUCGAGAAACCAGCAACCUGCAAAAGGCAGUGCACUAGCAUUCAAAGACCACCUUUCUCAGUUGUGCCUCUAGAUCCAGGGAUUUUAAGGAAAAUUAGGAGAAAUAAUGAUCAAAACAUUCUUGUGGGCCAGGAGCGGUGGCUCAUACUUGUAACCCCAGCAAUUUGGGAGGCCGAGGCAGGUGGAUCACUUGAGGUCAGGAGUUCGAGACCAUCCUGGCCAACAUAGUCAAACAUCAUCUCUACUAAAAAUACAAAAAUUAGCCAGGUGCGGUGGCACACGCCUGUAGUCCCAGCUACUCAGGAGGCAGAGGCUACAGCGAACCAACAUCACUGCACUCCAGCCUGGGAGACAGACCAAGACUGUCUCAAAAAACAAAACAAAGAAACAUUCUUGUGAAUCAUGCGCAGUCUCAGAUGGGCAGUUAGUCAUUACUUUCUUGGUCAAUGCCUUGUGACUAGACUGUGCAGGGGCCAUCA
rnacentral:lncRNA from 10 species